UCCAAGUUAAAGGCAUGUUCGAGCUUCU
rnacentral:piRNA from 1 species